GUGAAGGUAGCUCAGUGGUAGAGUGCAUGCCUUGCAAGCAUGAGGCCCUGGGUUCGAUUCCUCAGCACCACA
rnacentral:tRNA from 1 species